rfam:Schistosoma haematobium scaffold735_4, whole genome shotgun sequence.
ACCCAACUAAGGAAUCCCAAAUAGGACGAAACAUGCUUCCUGGAU